AAUAGAUGACGCUGUUGAUUUUUUUUACAUGUUUGAUCAUUCGUCUUAUUCAAAAAAUUUACGUAAUUAUAAUUUAUUUUAUUAUGAGUUGUUUUAUUACUCAUACUACUUUAAAUGUGAUUUAUACUUAUACAUUUACAUAAAAUUUUUGAAUAAGACGAAUGGUCAAACAGGCGAGAAAAAGACAACGGCGUCAUCUAUU
rnacentral:pre_miRNA from 1 species